rnacentral:rRNA from 1 species
GAUGAAAGCUGGCGGCGUGCCUAAUACAUGCAAGUCGAGCGAACGGACGAGAAGCUUGCUUCUCUGAUGUUAGCGGCGGACGGGUGAGUAACACGUGGAUAACCUACCUAUAAGACUGGGAUAACUUCGGGAAACCGGAGCUAAUACCGGAUAAUAUUUUGAACCGCAUGGUUCAAAAGUGAAAGACGGUCUUGCUGUCACUUAUAGAUGGAUCCGCGCUGCAUUAGCUAGUUGGUAAGGUAACGGCUUACCAAGGCAACGAUGCAUAGCCAACCUGAGAGGGUGAUCGGCCACACUGGAACUGAGACACGGUCCAGACUCCUACGGGAGGCAGCAGUAGGGAAUCUUCCGCAAAGGGCGAAAGCCUGACGGAGCAACGCCGCGUGAGUGAUGAAGGUCUUCGGAUCGUAAAACUCUGUUAUUAGGGAAGAACAUAUGUGUAAGUAACUGUGCACAUCUUGACGGUACCUAAUCAGAAAGCCACGGCUAACUACGUG